rnacentral:rRNA from 1 species
AGUAGCGGCGAGCGAAGCGGGAAGAGCCCAAAAUGAAAAGCCAGCUUGCUGGCGUUGUAGUUGAGCGUCUUUGGGGUGUCAGUUCGGGAAAGUGGCAUGGAAAUGUCCGCCGAGGAGGGUGAUAGCCCCGUCCAUCCCGUUCAGGACACUUCGCACUAAGGCGUUUCAGACGAGUCGGGUAGCUUGGGAAUGCUGCUCUAAUUGGUGGUAAAUCUCAUCAAAGGCUAAAUAACGGUGGGAGACCGAUAGCGAACAAGUACCGUGAGGGAAAGAUGAAAAGCACUUUGAAAAGAGGGUAAAAAGAACCUGAAACCGUUACGGGGGAAGCGGAUUGCGUUGGCCUGGUGGCUACCUGUGUGUUCAGCCUUUAAUGGUGCAUUGAUGCAGGUGGUUAUUCGUCGUGGCUUUUUAGUGACUGAUAUUGAGUUGCUGAAGGGUGAGGGCUCCCCUUUUUUUAGGGUGAGGACGACGGAGUGACGACGCGAUACGACCCGUCUUGAAACACGGACCAAGGAGUCUAGCGCGGGUGCGAGUCAAAGGGUAGUAAAACCCGUGGGCGAAGUGAAAGCAAGUUUUAAAAACUAGCAGUUUGGGGCGGCAUAGGAUCGUUGAUUCUAGGUCUGACCUUGAGCAGUUGCGCUGGGACCCGAAAGAUGGUGAACUAUGCCGGAGUAGGGCGAAGCCAGAAGAAAUUCUGGUGGAGGCUCGUAGCGGUGCUGACGUGCAAAUCGCUCGUCGAACUUGGGUAUAGGGGCGAAAGACUAAUCGAACCAUCUAGUAGCUGGUUUCCUCCGAAGUUUCUCUCAGGAUAGCAGGCCGACAUGCGUUGUUUUGUGCGGUAAAGCGAAUGAUUAGCGCAUUCGGGGGCGUUUAGCCUUCGGGCGAUUCUCAAACUUUAAAUGCGCAAGGGUGCCGGUGCUUUGUUGAGCGGUACCGGUAAAAACGUCGGCCUUGUGGGCCACUUUUGGUAAGCAG